UUGGCGGCGUGGUUAAGACAUGCAAGUCGAACGAGAGAAUUGCUAGCUUGCUAAUAAUUCUCUAGUGGCGCACGGGUGAGUAACACGUGAGUAACCUGCCCCCGAGAGCGGGAUAGCCCUGGGAAACUGGGAUUAAUACCGCAUAGUAUCGAAAGAUUAAAGCAGCAAUGCGCUUGGGGAUGGGCUCGCGGCCUAUUAGUCAGUUGGUGAGGUAACGGCUCACCAAGGCGAUGACGGGUAGCCGGUCUGAGAGGAUGUCCGGCCACACUGGAACUGAGACACGGUCCAGACACCUACGGGUGGCAGCAGUCGAGAAUCAUUCACAAUGGGGGAAACCCUGAUGGUGCGACGCCGCGUGGGGGAAUGAAGGUCUUCGGAUUGUAAACCCCUGUCAUGUGGGAGCAAAUUAAAAAGAUAGUACCACAAGAGGAAGAGACGGCUAACUCUGUGCCAGCAGCCGCGGUAAUACAGAGGUCUCAAGCGUUGUUCGGAAUCACUGGGCGUAAAGCGUGCGUAGGCUGUUUCGUAAGUCGUGUGUGAAAGGCGCGGGCUCAACCCGCGGACGGCACAUGAUACUGCGAGACUAGAGUAAUGGAGGGGGAACCGGAAUUCACGGUGUAGCA
rnacentral:rRNA from 1 species